AAUGACCCUGGCACAGAGCAGAGGAAACCCAAGGAGAAGAUGAAUUGAAUUACAGCGCCGGCAUGUGUGCAUUUGAUUUCUGCUGUAGAGUCUAAUGGAUUGUGGGGCUGGCUGACCAGCUGGGGAAGACAAUGCUGACCAUUUCUUGGGAAGAGCUUCAUGUGACCACUGCCAUGUUUGUUCCUUCUGGGAUUAUGUUGAGCACAAAAGAGCAAGUAACCAGACAGCACAUCUUUCUGCCCUUCAGAAGCAGCUCUUACUGGGAACAAAUUGCAGAGCCAUAAAGUCAGAUACUAACAAAAGAGAGAUUCUGAAUCUGAGAAGUUGGGACCAGAGCCUGGAGCACAGUCACUGCACUGAGGUCAGACCUACCUAGGAUCCGGGGAGUCCUCUGUCUGUUCACUGCAGCUCCUCAACUGUAAGCAAAGAGGUUCAGUUUUCUUCCUUCUAUACAUGAAGAAAAUAAGGCAGAAGAAGGAGUACAGUAUCUUGCUUCAUUAAAUAAUAUGGAGUCCUGAAUGUGCUUUUCUAUUUAUGCCUUUAUUAAUUAUUAUUUGCUCCCCCAAAAUACUUGAUAGAUGUAGUUCAAUAAUCUUUUACUCUAAUGAACCACUUAUACAAGAGAUGAUCACCAAAUACAAUUUUGCUUAAAAAAUUCACUACAGUAAAGGAGAGAUUAUCAUAAAUUCUCUUCAAAAUACCCCCGCCCUUCUUCAGACUCAUCUGUCCCAUUGUUCUGCUACUUUCUGAGAGAUGAAUGUCUCUGUGAAGUGGGAAGGUGAGUGCUGCUGCGGAGCGCUGUCCAGUGGAGACACAGCCCAUAAAGCACUGCAGUGCGCCCUCAUCCACAGACCUGACAGCGUGCGACUUGGGCUCUUUCUUAAAAUGAAAAUCACUAUGAAGACUAACUGUUUUGAAUUCCUUCAGGACAUUGAAGCCACGACAACAGCACAACUAAAAACACAAAAGAGGAUCUCCAGACCUAUGUCAAAAAGUGACAAAAAUGAUAGAAUAAAUCUGUUUGAAUUGAAACAUAUUUUGAGGGAAAGCAACAGUUUUAUUGUCAUAAGUCUUUUUUAAAAAUGUAAAUGCACAUUACAUUUUUCGAUCACACAUCAUAGAUUUCCAAAUAAAAGGACUUGAUCUUUUCAAAUCUGCUAAAAAAUCAAAGUAUCAUUCAUCAUUGUUUUGUUAUUAUUUGCACUCAAUAGAUCCUAAGAGUAAAAUAUCAAAAGUGGUAAUAAGCUGUAACAAUAUGACUAUAUAACUACGGUAAUA